rnacentral:tRNA from 1 species
CGAGAUAGCUCAAUUGGUAGAGCACUCGCCUUGUAAGCGAAAGGUUGUGGGUUCAAGUCCCAUUCUCGG